rnacentral:rRNA from 1 species
GACGAACGCUGGCGGCGUGCCUAAUACAUGCAAGUCGAGCGCUGAAGGUUGGUACUUGUACCGACUGGAUGAGCAGCGAACGGGUGAGUAACGCGUGGGUAAUCUGCCUUUGAGCGGGGGACAACAUUUGGAAACGAAUGCUAAUACCGCAUAAAAACUUUAAACACAAGUUUUAAGUUUGAAAGAUGCAAUUGCAUCACUCAAAGAUGAUCCCGCGUUGUAUUAGCUAGUUGGUGAGGUAAAGGCUCACCAAGGCGAUGAUACAUAGCCGACCUGAGAGGGUGAUCGGCCACAUUGGGACUGAGACAAGGCCCAAACUCCUACGGGAGGCAGCAGUAGGGAAUCUUCGGCAAUGGGCGGAAGUCUGACCGAGCAACGCCGCGGGAGUGAAGAAGGUUUUCGGAUCGUAAAACUCUGUUGGUAGGGAAGAACGUUGGUGGGAGUGGAAAGCUCAUCAAGUGACGGUAACUACACAGAAAGGGACGGCUAACUACGUG